GAUAAACGCUGGCGGCGUGCUUAACACAUGCAAGCCGAACGAAGUUUUUCCUUCGGGAGAAACUUAGUGGCGGACGGGUGAGUAACGCGUGGGUAACCUGCCCUGUACAGGGGGACAACAGCUGGAAACGGCUGCUAAUACCGCAUAAGCACUUAGCACUGCAUGGUGCAUAGGGAAAAGGAGCAAUCCGGUACAGGAUGGACCCGCGUCUGAUUAGCCAGUUGGCAGGGUAACGGCCUACCAAAGCGACGAUCAGUAGCCGAUCUGAGAGGAUGUACGGCCACAUUGGGACUGAGACACGGCCCAGACUCCUACGGGAGGCAGCAGUGGGGAAUAUUGCACAAUGGAGGAAACUCUGAUGCAGCGACGCCGCGUGAGUGAAGAAGUAUUUCGGUAUGUAAAGCUCUAUCAGCAGGGAAGAAAAUGACGGUACCUGACUAAGAAGCACCGGCUAAAUACGUG
rnacentral:rRNA from 1 species